rnacentral:rRNA from 1 species
GACGAACGCUGGCGGCGUGCUUAACACAUGCAAGUCGAACGAUGAAGCUGGAGCUUGCUCCGGUGGAUUAGUGGCGAACGGGUGAGUAACACGUGAGCAAUCCGCCCUUGACUCUGGGAUAACUGCGGGAAACUGUAGCUAAUACCGGAUAUGAGGCUCGAAGGCAUCUUCGGGUCUGGAAAGAAUUUCGGUCAAGGAUGAGCUCGCGGCCUAUCAGCUUGUUGGUGAGGUAAUGGCUCACCAAGGCGACGACGGGUAGCCGGCCUGAGAGGGGGACCGGCCACACUGGGACUGGGACACGGCCCAGACUCCUACGGGAGGCAGCAGUGGGGAAUAUUGCACAAUGGGCGAAAGCCUGAUGCAGCAACGCCGCGUGAGGGAUGAAGGCCUUCGGGUUGUAAACCUCUUUUAGCAGGGAAGAAGCGAAAGUGACGGUACCUGCAGAAAAAGCACCGGCUAACUACGUGCCAGCCGCCGCAGUAA